GGGCUUGACAUCCCACGAACCUGCCCGAAAGGGUAGGGUGCCCGCAAGGGAGCGUGGAGACAGGUGGUGCAUGGCUGUCGUCAGCUCGUGUCGUGAGAUGUUGGGUUAAGUCCCGCAACGAGCGCAACCCUCACCCCUAGUUGCCACCGGGUAAUGCCGAGCACUCGAGGGGAACUGCCAGCGUCAAGCUGGAGGAAGGCGGGGAUGACGUCAAGUCAUCAUGCCCCUUACGCCCUGGGCUACACACGUGCUACAAUGGCCAGUACAAAGGGAUGCGAGACCGUAAGGUGGAGCUAAUCCCAAAAAGCUGGUCUAAGUUCAGAUUGCAGUCUGCAACUCGACUGCAUGAAGGAGGAAUCGCUAGUAAUCGCGCAUCAGCACGGCGCGGUGAAUACGUUCCCGGGCCUUGUACACACCGCCCGUCACACCACGAAAGCUGGCUGUACUCGAAGUCGCUGAG
rnacentral:rRNA from 1 species